rnacentral:rRNA from 1 species
GAUGAACGCUGGCGGCGUGCCUAAUACAUGCAAGUCGAGCGAACGGACGAGAAGCUUGCUUCUCUGAUGUUAGCGGCGGACGGGUGAGUAACACGUGGAUAACCUACCUAUAAGACUGGGAUAACUUCGGGAAACCGGAGCUAAUACCGGAUAAUAUUUUGAACCGCAUGGUUCAAAAGUGAAAGACGGUCUUGCUGUCACUUAUAGAUGGAUCCGCGCUGCAUUAGCUAGUUGGUAAGGUAACGGCUUACCAAGGCAACGAUGCAUAGCCGACCUGAGAGGGUGAUCGGCCACACUGGAACUGAGACACGGUCCAGACUCCUACGGGAGGCAGCAGUAGGGAACCUUCCGCAAUGGGCGAAAGCCUGACGGAGCAACGCCGCGUGAGUGAUGAAGGUCUUCGGAUCGUAAAACUCUGUUAUUAGGGAAGAACAUAUGUGUAAGUAACUGUGCACAUCUUGACGGUACCUAAUCAGAAAGCCACGGCUAACUACGUGCCAGCAGCCGCGGUAAUACGUANGUGGCAAGCGUUAUCCGGAAUUAUUGGGCGUAAAGCGCGCGUAGGCGGUUUUUUAAGUCUGAUGUGAAAGCCCACGGCUCAACCGUGGAGGGUCAUUGGAAACUGGAAAACUUGAGUGCAGAAGAGGAAAGUGGAAUUCCAUGUGUAGCGGUGAAAUGCGCAGAGAUAUGGAGGAACACCAGUGGCGAAGGCGACUUUCUGGUCUGUAACUGACGCUGAUGUGCGAAAGCGUGGGGAUCAAACAGGAUUAGAUACCCUGAUAGUCCACGCCGUAAACGAUGAGUGCUAAGUGUUAGGGGGUUUCCGCCCCUUAGUGCUGCAGCUAACGCAUUAAGCACUCCGCCUGGGGAGUACGACCGCAAGGUUGAAACUCAAAGGAAUUGACGGGGACCCGCACAAGCGGUGGAGCAUGUGGUUUAAUUCGAAGCAACGCGAAGAACCUUACCAAAUCUUGACAUCCUUUGACAACUCUAGAGAUAGAGCUUUCCCCUUCGGGGGACAAAGUGACAGGUGGUGCAUGGUUGUCGUCAGCUCGUGUCGUGAGAUGUUGGGUUAAGUCCCGCAACGAGCGCAACCCUUAAGCUUAGUUGCCAUCAUUAAGUUGGGCACUCUAAGUUGACUGCCGGUGACAAACCGGAGGAAGGUGGGGAUGACGUCAAAUCAUCAUGCCCCUUAUGAUUUGGGCUACACACGUGCUACAAUGGACAAUACAAAGGGCAGCGAAACCGUGAGGUCAAGCAAAUCCCAUAAAGUUGUUCUCAGUUCGGAUUGUAGUCUGCAACUCGACUACAUGAAGCUGGAAUCGCUAGUAAUCGUAGAUCAGCAUGCUACGGUGAAUACGUUCCCGGGUCU